UGCGUAGGUGGUGAGGUAAGUCGGAUGUGAAAUCUCGGAGCUCAACUCCGAAACGGCAUUGGAAACUACCUCGCUCGAGGAAUGGAAGGGGGACUGGAAUUCUCGGUGUAGCAGUGAAAUGCGUAGACAUCGAGAGGAACACCAGUGGCGAAGGCGAGUCCCUGGACAUCUCCUGACACUGAGGCACGAAAGCUAGGGGAGCAAACA
rnacentral:rRNA from 1 species